rnacentral:tRNA from 1 species
GGGACUGUAGGUCAAGAGCAGACCCCCCGGAUGUGGCCCGGGCAAUGUCGGUGCGAUUCCGACCGGUCCCU